CGACUCCCAACAAUAACAAAUGCUAACCAGCGAACACCAAAGAAAAAGGUUAUCAGAACGAAGCCCAACAAAGUAACCAAAUAUCCAGAAUAAACUACCGAUAUGUAUAACCAGUCACCACAAAUGAACCCCAAAGAUGAACCCUAAGUGAAUAACAAUCGUCAUAAAUGAGCCCCGAGAUGAACCCCAAGUGAAUAACA
rnacentral:lncRNA from 1 species